GAUGAACGCUGGCGGCGUGCCUAAUACAUGCAAGUCGAGCGAACAGACGAGGAGCUUGCUCCUCUGACGUGAGCGGCGGACGGGUGAGUAACACGUGGAUAACCUACCUAUAAGACUGGGAUAACUUCGGGAAACCGGAGCUAAUACCGGAUAAUAUAUUGAACCGCAUGGUUCAAUAGUGAAAGACGGUUUUGCUGUCACUUAUAGAUGGAUCCGCGCCGCAUUAGCUAGUUGGUAAGGUAACGGCUUACCAAGGCACCGAUGCGUAGCCGACCUGAGAGGGUGAUCGGCCACACUGGAGCUGAGACACGGUCCAGACUCCUACGGGAGGCAGCAGUAGGGAAUCUUCCGCAAUGGGCGAAAGCCUGACGGAGCAACGCCGCGUGAGUGAUGAAGGUCUUCGGAUCGUAAAACUCUGUUAUGAGGGAAGAACAAAUGUGUAAGUAACUAUGCACGUCUUGACGGUACCUAAUCAGAAAGCCACGGCUAACUACGUG
rnacentral:rRNA from 1 species